rnacentral:tRNA from 1 species
GCCCAGGUGGCGGAAUGGUAUACGCAGCGGACUUAAAAUCCGUAGCCGCAAGGCAUGAGGGUUCGACUCCCUCCCUGGGCACCA